UACGUAGGGGGCAAGCGUUGUCCGGAAUCAUUGGGCGUAAAGAGCGCGUAGGCGGUCCGGUAAGUCCGCUCUGAAAGUCCGGGGCUCAACCCCGGGAGGCGGGCGGAUACUGCCGGGCUAGAGUCCGGAAGAGGCGAGUGGAAUUCCUGGUGUAGCAGUGAAAUGCGUAGAGAUCGGGAGGAACAUCAGUUGCGAAGGCGGCUCUCUGGACCAGCACUGACACUGAGGCACGAAAGCGUGGGGAGCAAACAGG
rnacentral:rRNA from 1 species